AUUGAACGCUGGCGGCAGGCUUAACACAUGCAAGUCGAGCGGGGGAAGGUAGCUUGCUACCGGACCUAGCGGCGGACGGGUGAGUAAUGCUUAGGAAUCUGCCUAUUAGUGGGGGACAACAUCUCGAAAGGGAUGCUAAUACCGCAUACGUCCUACGGGAGAAAGCAGGGGAUCUUCGGACCUUGCGCUAAUAGAUGAGCCUAAGUCGGAUUAGCUAGUUGGUGGGGUAAAGGCCUACCAAGGCGACGAUCUGUAGCGGGUCUGAGAGGAUGAUCCGCCACACUGGGACUGAGACACGGCCCAGACUCCUACGGGAGGCAGCAGUGGGGAAUAUUGGACAAUGGGGGGAACCCUGAUCCAGCCAUGCCGCGUGUAUGAAGAAGGCCUUAUGGUUGUAAAGCACUUUAAGCGAGGAAGAGGCUACUUUAGUUAAUACCUAGAGAUAGUGGACGUUACUCGCAGAAUAAGCACCGGCUAACUCUGUG
rnacentral:rRNA from 1 species